rnacentral:rRNA from 1 species
AUGUUCUCGUCCCAGUCCCUCAGCCGCGUCAACAACAUCAGGACUGCGCUCAUCAACGCGCAGAAGGGCAACCAAUCGGUCGCCUCCUACUUCGCCUCUCUGCGCGGCCUCCCCGACGAACUUGCCGCCGCCGGAAAACCUAUCCAGGAUGACGAACUAAUCUCGUACAUCCUCCACGGCCUCGAUGUUGACUACCAGCCGCUCGUCUCCGCCCUCGAUGCCCGCGUCACGCCCGACACCCUCGACGAGCUCUAUGCCAUGCUGAGUAACUUUGAUCAGCGCAUGGCCCAGUUCCACGGCUCCUCUGGU